UACGGAGGGGGCUAGCGUUGUUCGGAAUUACUGGGCGUAAAGGGCGCGUAGGCGGUAUGUCAAGUCAGGGGUGAAAGGCCUGGGCUCAACCCAGGAAUUGCCUUUGAAACUGGCAAACUAGAGUCCGAAAGAGGAUGGCGGAAUUCCCAGUGUAGAGGUGAAAUUCGUAGAUAUUGGGAAGAACACCGGUGGCGAAGGCGGCCAUCUGGAUCGGCACUGACGCUGAGGCGCGAAAGCGUGGGGAGCAAACAGGAUUAGAUACCCUCGUAGUCC
rnacentral:rRNA from 1 species